AUGUCUAAGGGACCUGCAGUUGGCAUUGAUCUUGGUACCACCUACUUCUGUGUGGGUAACUUCUAGCAUGAAAAGGUGGAAAUAAUUGCCAAUGACCAGGGUAACUGUACCACACCGAACUAUGUUGCUUUCACUAACACACAGCAAUUAUUUGGGGAUGCAGCCAAGAAUCAGGUUGCAAUGAACCUGACCAACACAGGUUUUGAUGCCAAAUGUCUGAUUGGAUGUAGGUUUGAUAAUGCUGUUGUUCAGUCUGAUAUGAAGCACUGGCCUUUCAUGGUGGUGAAUGAUGCUGGCAGGCCUAAGGUCCAAGUUGAAUACAAAGGGGAGACAAAAAGUUUCUACUCAGAGGAAGUGUCCUCAAUGGUUCUGACACAGAUAAAGGAAAUUGGAGAAGCUUAUCUUGGAAAAACUGUUACCAAUGCUGUGGUCACAGUGCCAGCUUAUUUCAAUGAUUCUCAGGGUCAGGCAACAAAGAUGCUGGAACUAUUGCUGACCUAAAUGUAUUUUGAAUUAUCAAUGAACCAACUGCUGCUGCUAUUGCUUAUGGCUUAAAUAAGAAGGUUGGAGCUAAAAGGAAUAUGCUGAUUUUUUUACUUGGGAGGAGGCACUUUUGAUGUGUCAAUCCUCAGUUUUGAGGAUGGAAUUUUUGAAGUCAAAUCAACAGCUGGAGAAACCCACUUGGGUGCAGAAGAAUUUGACAACUGAAUGGUCAACCAUUUCAUUGCUGAGUUUAAGUGAAAGCACGAGAAGGACAUCAGCGAGAACAAGUUUCUCCACACUGCCUGUAAGCAGGCCAGUAUUGAGAUUGAUUCUAUGAGGGAAUUGACUUCUAUACCUCCAUUAUCCAGACUCACUUUGAGGAAUUGAAUGUUGACCUGUUCCGUCACACAGGAUCCUCUAGAGAAGUUCCUUUGAAAUGCCAAACUAGACAAAUCACAGAUCCAUGAUAUUGUCUUGGUGGGCAAUUCUACCAGAAUCCCCAAGAUCCAGAAACUUCUGCAAGGCUUCUUCAAUGGAAAAGAACUGAAUCCUAAUGAAGCUGUUGCCUAUGGUGCAUCUGUCCAGGCAGCCAUUCUAUCUGGAGACAAGUCUAAGAAUGUUCAAGAUUUGCUGCUCUUGGAUGUCACUCCUCUUUCCCUUGGUAUUGAAACUGCUGGUGGAGUCAUGAUUGUCCUGAUCAGGUGCAAUACCACUAUGCCACCAAGCAGACACAGGCUUUCACCACCUACUCUGACAACCAGCCAGGUAUAUGAAGGUGAAAGGGCCAUGACCAAGGACAAUGACCUUCUUGGAAAGUUUAAGCUCACAGGCAUACCUCCAGCAAUCCUUGGGGUUCCACAAAUUGAGGUUACUUUUGACAUGGAUGCCAAUGGCAUCCUCAAUGUUUCUGCUGUAGAUAAGAGCAUGGGAAAGGAGAACAAGAUAACAAUCAGUAAUGACAAGGGUUGAUUGAGUAAGGAGGAUACUGAGUCUUCUAAGAAGGUAAGAAGUACAAAGCUGAGGAUGAGAAGCAGACAGAUAAGUUCUCCUCCAAGAAUUCACUGGAGUUUUAUGCCUUCAACUUGAAAGAAACUCUGGAUGAUGAGAAACCUCAAGGCAAGAUCAAUGAUGAGGACAAACAGAAGAUUCUUGACAAAUGCAAUGAAAUCAUCAACUGGCUGGAUAAGAACCAGACUGCAGAGAAGGAAGAAUUUGAGCAUCAGCAGAAAGAACUGGAGAAAGUCUUCAAUCCUAACAUUACUAAGCUAUACCAGAGUGCUGGUGGCAUGCCUAAAGGAAUGCCUGGUGGCCUCCCUGGUAGAGCUUCCCUAUCCAGUGGUGCUUCUUCAGGCCCCACCAUUGGAGAGGUAGA
rnacentral:lncRNA from 1 species